UACGUAGGGUGCAAGCGUUGUCCGGAAUUAUUGGGCGUAAAGAGCUCGUAGGCGGUUUGUUGCGUCGGUUGUGAAAACCUUAGGCUCAACCUCAAGCCUGCAGGCGAUACGAGUAGACUAGAGUGUUGCAGGGGAGACUGGAAUUCCUUGUGUAGCGGUGAAAUGCGCAGAUAUCAAGAGGAACACCGGUGGCGAAGGCGGGUCUCUGGGCAGCAACUGACGCUGAGGAGCGAAAGCGUGGGGAGCGAACAGG
rnacentral:rRNA from 1 species